GUCGAGAAUCUUUCACAAUGGGGGCAACCCUGAUGGAGCGACGCCGCGUGGAGGAUACGGUCUUCGGAUUGUAAACUCCUGUCAUGCGUGGACAAGGUUGCUUGGUUAAUACCUGGGCAAAUUGAUGGUAACGCAAGAGGAAGAGACGGCUAACUCUGUGCCAGCAGCCGCGGUAAUACAGAGGUCUCAAGCGUUGUUCGGAAUCACUGGGCGUAAAGGGUGCGUAGGUGGCGUGGUAAGUCAGAUGUGAAAGCCCGGGGCUCAACCUCGGAACUGCAUCCGAUACUGCCAUGCUAGAGUACUGGAGAGGUGACUAGAAUUCUCGGUGUAGCAGUGAAAUGCGUAGAUAUCGAGAGGAAUACCAAAGGCGUAGGCAGGUCACUGGACAGUUACUGACACUGAGGCACGAAGGCCAGGGGAGCGAACGGGAUUAGAUACCCCGGUAGUCC
rnacentral:rRNA from 1 species